CUUAUUAAUAAACGAGCCGAGUCGAGCCUCUAACGAGUCAAGCCUCUAACGAGCCAAGCCAUAGGCCCCUGACGAGCCGCCUGGCCUAUUUCCACCCCUACCUAUCUCCUACGCGGGUCCCACUCCUACCAAUACAAAUAUUAUUUUCUUUUCUUUCUCUCCCUUCAUCCCCUCCCACAACCGCUCUCUCUCUCUCUCUCUUCCACCCUUCUCAUUCACGUUUCUUUCCCUCUCUCUCCCAUAAAAACCUUUUCUUCUUCUUUCUGCAACACCACAACACCUUCUUCUUCUUCAGUUUAUUUUUCCUGCAACUCAACACCACCAUCAUGUGCCAAAACCGUGAGCACCACCACCUCCAUGCCUCCUUCACGCAGCAACCACCACUGUCCCUGUUCUGUUUUUCCUCUCCAUGAGAGUCACCACCAAAACCCUAGCCGCCGCCCUUUUCCUCCGAUCUCCGGCGAACUAUUAAGUUUUUGGAGAAACCAACACCACCACUGAACUCCCCUCAUCAACCGCAACAAAACCCCUCCAUCGAUUUGAUGAUCGGCCACCGUGACUCCGGCGACCGUUGCCGCCGCCGCUACCGGCGUCUUCUCCGGCGAGCUUUGUUCUGAGAAAGAAGACCAAUUUCUUGAAGCUUUCGACCUCUUCUUUCCAAAUCCAAAGUCAGAUCAUUGUUUAGAGUUCUGCUGAUCCCUGAGGGAGAAGAGAACCGCGACCAGAGCAGAGGAAGGGGAGGAGUUCAACUCAGUUCCACAGCCUUGAGAAAAUUAAGGUAGAAGGAGAAAGGCUUGAACUUAGAGAUUAUGUGAAGAGUAGAGGACCACCUUACUACACCUAUGGUUUUGUCAGAUGUUAGUCUAGGUUUAAUGUAAUUGCUGAGUUGGGAAAUUUCAAUUGAGUCAUAUUGAAAAUAGAUAUUUAAAAAUUUCAAUCCUCCAUGUUCUUGUUUUGCCAUGAUUCAUGGUUAUUUAGAGCUGCUCCUUACUGGUUAGAAAUUUGGGUUUUUCACUGGAUUUUCUAUUUUCAAAAUUGUCUGGCUGUAUAGUGUGUUGGACAAUUCUUUCCCAUUCUGAUUAUUUGGUAGUAUUAUGUCAUCUACCAUUAUGUAUUGAAAAUUGAAUUAACAUGAGAAAAAUAAACUGAAUUAGAAACCUGGAUAUGGUUAGUUAGAAACUUUCUAUAUUAUCAAA